rnacentral:rRNA from 1 species
CCCUAUGGGGUGCAGCCGGCGGAAUGAUAAGUCAGUGGUGAAAUUCAACGGCUCAACUGUUGCCCUGCCCUUGAUACUGUCAAUCUAGAGUAUAGUUGGAGUGGGCGGAAUGUGUCAUGUAGCGGUGAAAUGCUUAGAUAUGACACAGAACACCGAUCGCGAAGGCAGCUCACUAAGCUAAAACUGACGCUCAUGCACGAAAGCGUGGGGAUCAAACA